ACAGUUUUUUUUUCAAGCAGACAUGCUGCUAUGUUUAGACAGAGACACCUUGAAUACUUGUCGCGUGUUUUUAUGCAGUUUAUGUCCAUGAAAUAACAUUCUAGACCAUGCACAAGCUACAUUAGCUUAUGUUGCCUUUGUCUGUCCAGAAAUGUUUUUGCGUCCCGAGUUGUUGUAUCAUUUUCUUCUGUCAAGUUGAUGCAAGAAACUGACAAAAUGUUCAUUUCAUCAAAGCUGAUGAUAUGAGACCAACAUUAGGAUACUACGGGGAUCCUGUUGUGAAACAGGACAUUGAUCAUCUUGCCUCUAAACGCAAUGUCUUUCUCAAUGCAUAUGCCCAGCAAGCAGUGUGCACC